AGUUUGAUCAUGGCUCAGAUUGAACGCUGGCGGCAUGCCUUACACAUGCAAGUCGAACGGUAACGGGCCUUCGGGUGCCGACGAGUGGCGAACGGGUGAGUAAUGCAUCGGAACGUACCUUUCAGUGGGGGAUAACGUAGCGAAAGUUACGCUGAUACCGCAUAUUCUGUGAGCAGGAAAGCAGGGGAUCGCAAGACCUUGCGCUGAUUGAGCGGCCGAUGUCAGAUUAGCUAGUUGGUGAGGUAAAGGCUCACCAAGGCGACGAUCUGUAGCGGGUCUGAGAGGAUGAUCCGCCACACUGGAACUGAGACACGGUCCAGACUCCUACGGGAGGCAGCAGUGGGGAAUUUUGGACAAUGGGGGCAACCCUGAUCCAGCCAUGCCGCGUGAGUGAAGAAGGCCUUCGGGUUGUAAAGCUCUUUCGGCCGGGAAGAAAUCGCAUGGGUUAAUACCCUGUGCGGAUGACGGUACCGGCAUAAGAAGCACCGGCUAACUACGUG
rnacentral:rRNA from 1 species